GAUGAAUGCUGGCGGCGUGCCUAAUACAUGCAAGUCGAGCGGUAAGGCCCUUCGGGGUACACGAGCGGCGGACGGCUGAGUAACGCGUGGGAACAUGCCCCAAAGUGAGGGAUAACGCACCGAAAGGUGUGCUAAUACCGCAUAUGGUCUUCGGAUUAAAGGAUUUUAUCCGCUUUUGGGAGUGGCCCGCGUACGAUUAGAUUGUUGGUGAGGUAACGGCUCACCAAGUCGACGAUCGUUAACUGGUCUGAGAGGAUGAUCAGUCAGACUGGAACUGAGACACGGUCCAGACUCCUACGGGAGGCAGCAGUAAGGAAUCUUCCACAAUGGGCGAAAGCCUGAUGGAGCAACGCCGCGUGCAGGGAUGAAGGCCCUCGGGUCGUAAACUGCUUUUAUGAGUGAAGAAUAUGACGGUAACUCAUGAAUAAGCAACCGGCUAACUACGUGCCAGCAGCCGUCGGUAAGCUCGUCUCUA
rnacentral:rRNA from 1 species